rnacentral:rRNA from 1 species
GAAUAAGGAUCGGCUAACUCCGUGCCAGCAGCCGCGGUAAUACGGAGGAUCCAAGCGUUAUCCGGAUUUAUUGGGUUUAAAGGGUCCGCAGGCGGAAUAUUAAGUCAGUGGUGAAAUCCUACAGCUUAACUGUAGAACUGCCAUUGAUACUGAUUUUCUUGAGUACACCUGAAGUGGGCGGAAUGUGUCAUGUAGCGGUGAAAUGCUUAGAUAUGACACAGAACACCGAUUGCGAAGGCAGCUCACUAAAGUGUAACUGACGCUGAGGGACGAAAGCGUGGGUAGCGAACAGGAUUAGAUACCCUGGUAGUCCACGCCGUAAACGAUGAUCACUAGAUGUUGGCGAUAUAUUGUCAGUAUCUAAGCGAAAGCAUUAAGUGAUCCACCUGGGGAGUACGGUCGCAAGAUUGAAACU